AACACGACUGUAAUAAUGUAAUAACAAUACAAUACCAGUUUAUCGGAGUGCCGACCAGAAUCGUUUUUCGUUACGAUUAUUUUUAUCGUCGCGUAUACCGAUCGAAUCGUUCUGCGUUCAUCGCUUGGAUUGAAGGGGGGAGGGGAAGAGAAUUAAUUAUUAACAAAAAAGACCGUUUUGGCGUAAUGUCCGCUUUCAUAUGAUUCGCUGUGUUACUUACGGUAACCUAACCUAAAAUUACAGACACCGCAGGGAACAAAGUCAUAUCGAAAGUCGACAGGCGGAUUUGCAAACGAUUGAAACAAUUUGCCGACUCCGACACAAUACGUCUUUUGACUCGGUUUUAUCGUCAUUACCUUUGUUAUGUAAAUAAUAAAUUUGACGACAU